CGGCGCGACGAUAUGCGGCGUAGAUCGCGGCGAAAGAGUUGCAGUGAUUUCACGCGAAUCCUAUGUUAGAGUCGCGCUACCCAUAGAGAGAGGUAGAAAGCGUUUAUGUCCCAGUUACGUCAAUUGGUAAUCGCAGCUGAAGAUCCCGUCCGUUUGGCCGGCUUCUACCAAGAGGUCUUCGAUCUCGAAAA
rnacentral:misc_RNA from 1 species